rnacentral:rRNA from 1 species
GUGCCAGCCGCCGCGGUAAUACGGAGGAUGCGAGCGUUAUCCGGAAUCAUUGGGUUUAAAGGGUGCGUAGGCGGCCUUUCAAGCCCGGGGUGAAAAUCUGGGGCCCAACCCCAGACCUGCCUCGGGAACUGGCUGGCUGGAGUACGCUUGCCGCGGGAGGAAUGAGUGGUGUAGCGGUGAAAUGCAUACAUAUCACUCAGAACACCGAUUGCGAAGGCAUCCCGCGAAGGCGCGACUGACGCUGAGGCACGAAAGCGUGGGGAUCGAACAGGAUUAGAUACCCUGGUAGUCCACGCAUAAACGAUGAUAGCUAGCCGUUGGCCCGUUAAAGUGGUCAGUGGCCGAGCGAAAGCGAUAAGCUAUCCACCUGGGGAGUACGGCCGCAAGGCUGAAACUCAAAGGAAUUGACGGGGGCCCGCACAAGCGGAGGAACAUGUGGUUUAAUUCGAUGAUACGCGAGGAACCUUACCCGGGCUCGAACGGCAGAUGAAGGAAUCAGAGAUGGUUUCGCCCUUCGGGGCAUCUGUCGAGGUGCUGCAUGGUUGUCGUCAGCUCGUGCCGUGAGGUGUCGGCUUAAGUGCCAUAACGAGCGCAACCCUUGCGUCCAGUUGCCAGCGGGUGAAGCCGGGGACUCUGGACGGACUGCCACCGCAAGGUGUGAGGAGGGGGGGGAUGACGUCAAAUCAGCACGGCCCUUACGUCCGGGGCGACACACGUGUUACAAUGGUGGCUACAGAGGGGUGCUACCCAGCGAUGGGGAGCUGAUCCGUUAAAAGCCGCCUCAGUUCGGAUCGGAGCCUGCAACCCGGCUCCGUGAAGCUGGAUUCGCUAGUAAUCGCGCAUCAGCCAUGGCGCGGUGAAUACGUUCCCGGGCCUUGUACACACCGCCCGU